rnacentral:tRNA from 1 species
AGCUUUGUAGUCAAUGAUGAUAUUAAAUUGCAAAUUUAAAGGUGAGUAAGUUUCAAGGCUU